rnacentral:rRNA from 1 species
UACGUAGGGUGCGAGCGUUAAUCGGAAUUACUGGGCGUAAAGUGUGCGCAGGCGGCAGAGCAAGUCGAGUGAGAAAGCCCCGGGCUUAACUUGGGAAUUGCGCUCGAAACUACUUUGCUGGAGUGUGGCAGAGGAAGGUGGAAUUCCACGUGUAGCGGUGAAAUGCGUAGAGAUGUGGAGGAACACCAAUGGCGAAGGCAGCCUUCUGGGCCAACACUGACGCUCAUGCACGAAAGCGUGGGGAGCAAACAGG